rnacentral:rRNA from 1 species
GGAUUUCCUUAGUAGCGGCGAGCGAACAGGAAAGAGCCCAGCACUGAAUCCCGCGGCUUCGCCGCUGGGAAAUGUAGUGUUCGGGAGGAUCCGAUUAUCCCGAGACGUCGAACCGCGUCCAAGUCCAUCUUGAAUGGGGCCAAUUACCCGCAGAGGGUGCCAGGCCCGUAGCGACCGGUGCGCGUUUCGGGAGGAUCUCUCCUUAGAGUCGGGUUGCUUGAGAGUGCAACUCUAAGUGGGUGGUAAACUCCAUCUAAGGCUAAAUAUGACCACGAGACCGAUAGCGAACAAGUACCGUGAGGGAAAGUUGAAAAGAACUUUGAAGAGAGAGUUCAAGAGUACGUGAAACCGUUCAGGGGUAAACCUGUGAAACCCAAAAGAUCGAAUGGGGAGAUUCAUCUUCAGCGGCGCUGGCUUCACGGUGGUGCGUGAUGCUCCGAAUGGGCCUCGGCCCAAGGCGUGAGCACGCCAUCGCCGACGAUAGUCCGGCGUCGUCGUCGUGCACUUCUCCCCUAGUAGAACGUCGCGACCCGUUGGGUGUCGGUCUACGGCCCGGGUGGGAGCCUGCUCGUCUUGGCAACUCGCACGAGUCAGACCCCCGGUCGCCCGGCCGGCUGCCCGACGGUACUCGCACGGUAUCGGGCCGCAACCUAUGUGCGUCGGGCCCGCCGCAGGCGCGGUCAGUGCAUCCCGGCAGUACGGCCCUAGCGGACGUCACCGGGCCUGACCCGCUGUUGGCUGGCGGUGUCCUCGGACAGGCCAAGCUUCGAAAUACCGGUCGGCGACGCUAUUGCUUUGGGUACUCUCAGGACCCGUCUUGAAACACGGACCAAGGAGUCUAACAUGUACGCGAGUCAUUGGGAUUAUGAAAACCUAAAGGCGAAAUGAAAGUGAAGGUCGACCUCGGUGUCGACAGAGGGAGGAUGGGCCGCGUUUCGAUUCGGCCUCGCACUCCCGGGGCGUCUCGUUCUCAU